rnacentral:misc_RNA from 1 species
GUGACUGACCACCAUGGCUCGAAGUCUUCAGACGUGCAGUAAAUAAGCCAGCAGGAGCGAAAUCAGAGUCCCCAAAUGAUUGCUCUAGCUGAAAUUGGACCUUAGAAUCCGAAUCAGGAUCAGAAAAUCGCCUCCUAGUCGAUGUCGGACGGCUUGGAGGAGGUGUGGAUCGGGUAUGAGCGGCGUCGAUAUACUGAGUCUG